rnacentral:rRNA from 1 species
UACGUAGGGGGCAAGCGUUGUCCGGAAUCAUUGGGCGUAAAGCGCGCGUAGGCGGCCCGGUAAGUCCGCUGUAAAAGUCCAGGGCUCAACCCUGGAAAGCCGGUGGAUACUGUCGGGCUAGAGUCCGGAAGAGGCGAGUGGAAUUCCGGGUGUAGUGGUGGAAUGCGUAGGAGUAGGUGGAAGAACACCAGUGGCGAAGGCGGCUAUCUGGACGGUUUCUGACGCUAAGACGCGAAAAGCGUGGGGAGCAAACAGGG